GCCCCAGUAGCUCAGCGGAUAGAGCACCCGCCUUCUAAGCGGUAGGUCGCAGGUUCGAUUCCUGCCUGGGGUACCC
rnacentral:tRNA from 1 species